rnacentral:rRNA from 1 species
CCUACGGGCGGCAGCAGUGGGGAAUAUUGGACAAUGGGCGAAAGCCUGAUCCAGCCAUGCCGCGUGUGUGAAGAAGGCCUUCGGGUUGUAAAGCACUUUCAGUGGGGAAGAAAGCCUUGGGGCUAAUACCCUCGAGGAAGGACAUCACCCACAGAAGAAGCACCGGCUAACUCCGUGCCAGCAGCCGCAGGUAAUACGGAGGGUGCGAGCGUUAAUCGGAAUUACUGGGCGUAAAGCGCGCGUAGGCGGUCUGAUAAGCCGGUUGUGAAAGCCCCGGGCUCAACCUGGGAACGGCAUCGGGAACUGUCAGGCUAGAGUGCAGGAGAGGAAGGUAGAAUUCCCGGUGUAGCGGUGAAAUGCGUAGAGAUCGGGAGGAAUACCAGUGGCGAAGGCGGCCUUCUGGACUGACACUGACGCUGAGGUGCGAAAGCGUGGGUAGCAAACAGGAUUAGAUACCCCAGUAGUC